rnacentral:rRNA from 1 species
CCUACGGGUGGCAGCAGUGAGGAAUAUUGGUCAAUGGACGAGAGUCUGAACCAGCCAAGUAGUGUGAAGGAUGACUGCCCUAUGGGUUGUAAACUUCUUUUAUAUGGGAAUAAAACGUUCCACGUGUGGGAUUUUGUAUGUACCAUAUGAAUAAGGAUCGGCUAACUCCGUGCCAGCAGCCGCGGUAAUACGGAGGAUCCGAGCGUUAUCCGGAUUUAUUGGGUUUAAAGGGAGCGUAGGUGGAUUGUUAAGUCAGUUGUGAAAGUUUGCGGCUCAACCGUAAAAUUGCAGUUGAAACUGGCAGUCUUGAGUACAGUAGAGGUGGGCGGAAUUCGUGGUGUAGCGGUGAAAUGCUUAGAUAUCACGAAGAACUCCGAUUGCGAAGGCAGUUCACUGGACUGCAACUGACACUGAGGCUCGAAAGUGUGGGUAUCAAACAGGAUUAGAUACCCUAGUAGUC